ACCUUGUUAGACUUGCAAAGGACUUCAUAAUGUCUAAUGCGUUACAAGUCGCAGUAAAGCACAUCAUUUGCGACAUAAGAACGCUCAUUCUGGCAUGUUUAUCAACCGAGGAAAACCAUUUCCCCGUCACUAAAGAUAAACAUUCUAAAAUGUAAUAAAAUCACCGGUUAUCGUCGCCGAAGGAAAGAUAGACUCAGUCGUCUGACAGAUUUGGUUACGAAGCGUUCUUCAAGAAUUUUGUCAUGAUCGGUUUACAAAAGCUGCUUUUGAUAUUGGUGGGGUCCGUGGCGAUGGCAAAUGCGAUAACUUUCUGCAUCGCCCCUACCGAUUGCAUAGUGAAUUGUCCAGGACGUUUUGUACCAAUCUGCAUGCUUGGACUCUGCACAUGCGCGCCCUUACCUGAUCUGCCUUCGUCAACGUGUGAGAAUACCACCAGUGCUCAGUAGUCAUCAGCAUUAAACACUGGAUUAUUUUGUAAAAUUGUAAGGGAUUUAAAUAAAAUUCUGAAUCACGUGAA